rnacentral:rRNA from 1 species
GAUGAACGCUGGCGGCGUGCCUAAUACAUGCAAGUCGAGCGAACGGACGAGAAGCUUGCUUCUCUGAUGUUAGCGGCGGACGGGUGAGUAACACGUGGAUAACCUACCUAUAAGACUGGGAUAACUUCGGGAAACCGGAGCUAAUACCGGAUAAUAUUUUGAACCGCAUGGUUCAAAAGUGAAAGACGGUCUUGCUGUCACUUAUAGAUGGAUCCGCGCUGCAUUAGCUAGUUGGUAAGGUAACGGCGUACCAAGGCAACGAUGCAUAGCCGACCUGAGAGGGUGAUCGGCCACACUGGAACUGAGACACGGUCCAGACUCCUACGGGAGGCAGCAGUAGGGAAUCUUCCGCAAUGGGCGAAAGCCUGACGGAGCAACGCCGCGUGAGUGAUGAAGGUCUUCGGAUCGUAAAACUCUGUUAUUAGGGAAGAACAUAUGUGUAAGUAACUGUGCACAUCUUGACGGUACCUAAUGAGAAAGCCACGGCUAACUACGUG